UACACACGUUAAUAUAAAACGGACUUCAGAAACAGUUAAUUUUAGUGCUGAAAAGGUGAAAUCUCUGAACUUAUAUUUGGUAAAACGUACAUGUAAGGAUCCGACUCCCACCGUCUAAUAUAUAUGUCUUUGUGAAUAUUUAAGUGAUGUCUUCCUCCAUCUAAUAUAAGCCAAUAAAAAACUAUUGCGCG